rnacentral:rRNA from 1 species
UACGAAGGGGGGCUAGCGUUGCUCGGAAUCACUGGGCGUAAAGCGCACGUAGGCGGAUCUUUAAGUCAGGGGUGAAAUCCUGGAGCUCAACUCCAGAACUGCCUUUGAUACUGGGAUCUCGAGUCCGGGAGAGGUGAGUGGAACUCCGAGUGUAGAGGUGAAAUUCGUAGAUAUUCGGAAGAACACCAGUGGCGAAGGCGGCUCACUGGCCCGGUACUGACGCUGAGGUGCGAAAGCGUGGGGAGCGAACGAGG